UACGUAGGGGGCUAGCGUUGUCCGGAAUCAUUGGGCGUAAAGAGCGUGUAGGCGGUCCGGUAAGUCCGCUGUGAAAGUCGGGGGCUCAACCCUCGAAUGCCGGUGGAUACUGUCGGGCUAGAGUGCGGAAGAGGCGAGUGGAAUUCCUGGUGUAGCGGUGAAAUGCGCAGAUAUCAGGAGGAACACCUAUUGCGAAGGCAGCUCGCUGGGACGUUACUGACGCUGAGAGGCGAAAGCGUGGGGAGCAAACAGG
rnacentral:rRNA from 1 species